CUUCAGGUAACAAAUGUGAGCGUCCAACUUUAAUGCAAAGCAUGAGGUUGGCACCAGCAAUUAAUCCUGAGCUUUUCUGUAGAAUCUUGGGUAACCAAGAUGCUUGUAACAGUGGUAAGCUUUAACUCUCUUCUUCCUAGAUCCAUCUCUUGCCCAUGCAGGGGCGUAGGCAGUUUGCAGGAUCUAUCGGUUCUUUCUAACAGACCAAAGAACACUUUAUAGACAGGACUACAUCUCCGCAGCCACCGCAGAAGUGGGACACGUUGCCCUUGUGGUUAUUCUCCUGCUUCAUUAGCAUUUAGAAAGUGGAUUAGCUUAAGUACUCCGGUUUUACUCCUUGAAAUAUCACUUUCACAGCCACACCACUUUUACUCAAGAAAUGGCUAGUAGUAGUUUUCCCAAACUCUCUGUAAUGGACUAUUUUUUAGAUCUCCUAUUUUUUAGAGCUUUUUAUUUAGGCAGAGAUUAUUGGGUAAAUUUACUCAUUACACAUCACAAAACAUGUUCCUCUUUUUUCCACAGUAUUAUAACCUAAAUAUAGUCAGGUAAAUGUAAUCUGGGAUGGUGGUUUCCUCAUUAUUAAAAGAGGAGGCAGGAUGGAUUGAAUGAAAAGGAGCUUGAAAAAGAUUUUGGAACACAAAGAAUGGUGGCUGCAUGGAAAGGAGACGUGAAGCAGCAGCAAUAUGACAGUCCGGACAAAAGAGCCUGGAGAGCAAGGGAGGGAAUAAGGCAGGGGAAAGAAGACUGGAAUACCAUGGCCUGCAGGGAGAGAUUUUUCUCAGCAAAGACAUAUUGCGUGGAUGUGAAGAGCUGAGACAAGCAGGCCAUGUAGGAAGGAGUUGCAUCAGACAAGGCCAGAGGAUAUUCUGCUAUUUAAUUUUGCAAAGGUUUAAUAAGAUAUUUGGCUCAGGAGCCAAAUGUAGUUGUAAUAUAAUGAAAUUGAGUGUGCCAUUUGAAUGUUACCUGCUAAGAUUACAGAAGAUGCGCUUCUUGCUAUGUUUUUGUCUGCCUAGAGUCAAAGCUAUUCUUAUCCUUCAUAAUACUUGCCAGCUUCAAGCAGCAA
rnacentral:lncRNA from 1 species